rnacentral:rRNA from 1 species
GAUGAACGCUGGCGGCGUGCCUAAUACAUGCAAGUCGAACGGACAGGCGCUGCUCUUGCUGCUCUCACGUUAGCCGCACACGUGUGUGUAACGCGUGUAUCAUGUACCUGUCAUACUGGUAUAACUUCGAGACUCGGGCUCUAAUACCAUAGAAGAUAUUGACCCACAGUGGUCAAUGGUGAGAUACGGUGUUUCUGUCACUUCUAGAUGGUUCCGCGCCUGAUUAGCUAGUUGUGAAGUUAACGGCUUACCAAGGCAACGAUGCGUAGACGACCGGAGAGGGUGAUAGGCCACACUGGAACUGAGACACGGUCAAGAGGACUACGGGAGGCAGCAGUAGGGAAUCUGCCGCAAUGGGCGAAAGCAUGACGGAGCAACGCGGAGUGAGUGAUGAAGGUCUUCGGAGCGUAAAAAUCUGUUAUUAGGGAAGAACAAAUGUGUCAGUAAAUAUGCACGGAGUGACGGUAACGAAUAAGAAAGCAACGGCUAACUACGUG